AGGGGAAAAAAUGUCGUGUCUGUGUCUCUCUAAAGUCCACUGUAAUGUAUGUUCAAACUGGAACAAUAAGCCGUGUGUGUGCUUACAUCAUCCAGCCUUCAGAACAGGUGCACCUCAUCACGUUACUUGCUGGUUCAACCUGCCUCCUCGCUGUUCACAGCCGACGCUCGACCACGCCCCUGCUGCCACAGG